UGGGGAAUAUUGCACAAUUGGCGCAAGCCUGAUGCAGCCAUGCCGCGUGUAUGAAGAAGGCCUUCGGGUUGUAAAGUACUUUCAGUCGGGAGGAAGGUGUCAAGGUUAAUAACCUUGGCAAUUGACGUUACCGACAGAAGAAGCACCGGCUAACUCCGUGCCAGCAGCCGCGGUAAUACGGAGGGUGCAAGCGUUAAUCGGAAUUACUGGGCGUAAAGCGCACGCAGGCGGUUGAUUGAGUCAGAUGUGAAAUCACCGGGCUUAACCCGGGAAUUGCAUCUGAUACUGGUCAGCUAGAGUCUUGUAGAGGGGGGUAGAAUUCCAUGUGUAGCGGUGAAAUGAGUGGAGAUGUUGAGGAAUCCCGGUGGCGAAGGCGGACCCCUGGACAAAGACUGACGCUCAGGUGCGAAAGCGUGGGGAGCAAACAGG
rnacentral:rRNA from 1 species